rnacentral:rRNA from 1 species
CCUACGGGUGGCAGCAGUGGGGAAUAUUGCACAAUGGGGGAAACCCUGAUGCAGCGACGCCGCGUGAGCGAGGAAGUAUUUCGGUAUGUAAAGCUCUAUCAGCAGGGACGAAAAAAGACGGUACCUGACUAAGAAGCCCCGGCUAACUACGUGCCAGCAGCCGCGGUAAUACGUAGGGGGCAAGGGUUAUCCGGAUUUACUGGGUGUAAAGGGAGCGUAGACGGCAAGGCAAGCCAGAAGUGAAAGGGCAGGGCUCAACCCUGUACAUGCGUUUGGAACUGUGGUGCUGGAGUGCAGGAGAGGUAAGUGGAAUUCCUAGUGUAGCGGUGAAAUGCGUAGAUAUUAGGAGGAACACCAGUGGCGAAGGCGGCUUACUGGACUGUAACUGACGUUGAGGCUCGAAAGCGUGGGGAGCAAACAGGAUUAGAUACCCCAGUAGUC